rnacentral:rRNA from 1 species
UACGUAGGAAGCAAGCGUUAUCCGGAUUUACUGGGCGUAAAGUGAGCGUAGGUGGCCUUUCAAGUCGGAUGUGAAAUCUCCUGGCUUAACUGGGAGGGGUCAUUCGAUACUGUUGGGCUUGAGGACAUCAAGGGAAGGUGGAAUUCCGGGUGUAGUGGUGAAAUGCGUAGAUAUCCGGAGGAACACCAGUGGCGAAGGCGGCCUUCUGGGAUGUUUCUGACACUGAGGCUCGAAAGUGUGGGGAG